rnacentral:lncRNA from 1 species
UCUGAAAUAUUUCCUGGUUCCCCAUAAAGAACUGAAUUUUGUCUUCUGUGUCUCUGUUCUAUAAUAGUGGACUCUAUAUUGUCACCUGUAGUAAAGGCUGCUGAUGUCACAUGCCAUAUCUCUUGCCUGCUUCAGAGUUCAUCUGUAGCUGUGAUGGACAGACCGCCUGAACUUUCAUCACUGAAUAUCCACUGGGAAUUCUUCGUGGACAUGAGCAGAGAUGCUAGCUUUGAUGUGUCACACAGGCUUGGACCAAGGGCAUCUGUCUGUGACCAGUAGGGACAGAUAUGUGGCUGCUCCAGAAAAGCGCUAUAUUCUCAUGUGACUUGUUGCACGGUACCAAGGACUUUGAUCACAGAAAUCAAGUGUCCAUUACUUUCUUGACCAUGCUCUGCUGGCAAGUUCCAGGGAGGACCAGCUCCCUGCCUGCAAGUUCCAGGGCUUAGUUCGCCGGUGCCACCACCCUGAUUGCUCCUGGAGGGAUGUCUUUCUGUGUCCCCACAGCUGCUACUACAUUCCCAUUUUAGCAGAGUGGACCAGAUGGCUCCCAUAGGUAAGUUGCUGCAAGAGGGAAACGACAGUGAUCAGGAUGAGGGUGCUGGUUAUACCAGCAGAGCAACAUCUACCCUCCCUGUUCCAGCAUUUUAAGUUUUCUGAAGCAGGUGACUAAUACUCCAAUAAUAUUAAACAUAGCACUGAGAGUAAGUUCCACUAGGAAGGCAGGAUUAUUUCCUUUGUUCAGUAUUAUAUUUCACCG